rnacentral:rRNA from 1 species
GACGAACCGUGCGAACGUUGUUCGGAAUAACUGGGCUUAAAGGGUGCGUAGGCGGGUCCGCCAGUCUGUGGUGAAAUCCUCCCGCUCAACGGGAGAACUGCCGUGGAUACUGCGGACCUCGAGGAAGAUAGGGGCGUGCGGAACAGUUGGUGGAGCGGUGAAAUGCGUUGAUAUCAACUGGAACUCCGGUGGCGAAGGUGGCACGCGGGGUCUUUCUUGACGCUGAGGCACGAAGGCUAGGGGAGCAAACGGG